rnacentral:lncRNA from 1 species
AAUAACAAUUAUAUUCUUAUAAAUUUUAACUUUUAUAUGUUGUCUUUACGAAAGUCCUGAUAUUUUCAAAUAUGUUCCUGUCAUUAUAAUCUGUUAGAAAAAUUUAGUUAACCAUAUGUUAAAUACCUAAUCCUAGUUAAUUUUGGACAUUUUUAUCUCUUUUUAUUAUACUGUUAUGGUUUUUUAGAGGGAUAUAUUUGUGAUGGCAAAAUUAAAAAUAUAAACAGUUUUCUAACAGUAACAAACUAGAGGAAUAUAUUUGAAAACAUCAGAAUUUUGAAAGGACAAUAUAUGAAAGUUGAACUUUGUAGAAAUAUAUUUGUCAUUCACUAUUUUUGUAGGAACCUGUAUGAAAUUAAUCCCUUUUUUUAUAUCCAUGAUACGACACGGUGGUCUUAUAUAAGUAGAUAUCGCUUUAUUACAAUUGAUAUGACCUUUUCACUAUGAAAUAAUUAAAAGGGAUAAUUGCCUAUAUACCCUCAAAACUUCAGAAAUAUCUCAUUUAUCCCUACUUUUUUUUUUCUUUCCAAUAUACCCCUCAUAUAUUCCUCCGUUAUUUCUAGACCUGGCAAACGGGCUGGUUGGGUAACCCGCAGGCGGGUUAUUGUACCUGCGGGUUAUUUGGGCAUGGGUAAAAUUUACCCGUAAAUUUUUGGGUAGCCAACAUCUUUACUCAUACCCGCCCGCGAAUGGGCGGGUGGGUAUGCAGGUUACCCACAAAUUUUUUUUUUUUUUUUUUGCUCUUAUAUUUUUUAAAUACAAAACACAUAGAUAUAAGUUUUAAAAGUAUAAUAUAACUCAUUGUUUAAAAUAUCAUAACAUACAAUAAAAAUAUUUAAAGUCUUAAAGCAAAAAUAAUUUAUAAUAUUAAAGACAUGCAAUAAAAAAUUAGGAUUAAAAUUUUUAGGAUGGAUAAAUAAAAAAUAUAUAUUAAUUAAGAAAAUAUAUUUUGUAAUUAAAAAAUAUAUGUGCGGGUACCCGUGGGUACCCGCGGGUUAUCCAAAAUGCCCACUGCUUAAUGGGUACCCACCCCUUUUACCCGUAAUUUUUUGGGUUGGAAAAAUUGAUACCCAUACCCGCAAAUUUGUGGGUAACCCGUGGGUACCCGCGGGUUUGGGUCAAGAUUGCCAGGUCUAGUUAUUUCAAAAUACCUUUACAGUUAUCACCCAUUAAGAUAACUUGGGUUAAACAUGAGUUAAAUAUCUAACACAGUUAAAAAAAAUUAAAAUGUUAAUUUUGCCCUUAACUUAAGAACAAAUAAGAAAUGUUGGUGACGGUAGAGGGGUAUAUUUGAAAAAACCAAAAGUCAAAAUGCUUUUUGUGCUCCUAACUUAAGGGCAAAUAAGAAAAGUCGGUGAUGGUAGAAGGGUAUAUUUGAAAGGGUAAAAUAUAAACUUUAUAUAGAUAAAAUAGUUCAUUAAUAAAUUUUAACUAUAGGGGCAUAUUUGAAAUAGGUUGUAACGUAAAAAGGAUAUUUUCAAUAUUAGCCUUCUAAGAGAGGUAAACCAGAAUCGAAAACUUUUCAGGAGUAUAUAAGCAAUUG